GAGCGGCGAACGGGUGAGUAACACGUGAGUAACCUGCCCCAAACUUUGGGAUAACCCUCGGAAACGGGGGCUAAUACCGGAUAUGACACAGCUUCGCAUGGGGUCUGUGUGGAAAGUUUUUCGGUUUGGGAUGGGCUCGCGGCCUAUCAGCUUGUUGGUGGGGUGAUGGCCUACCAAGGCGACGACGGGUAGCCGGCCUGAGAGGGCGACCGGCCACACUGGGACUGAGACACGGCCCAGACUCCUACGGGAGGCAGCAGUGGGGAAUAUUGCACAAUGGGCGGAAGCCUGAUGCAGCGACGCCGCGUGAGGGAUGACGGCCUUCGGGUUGUAAACCUCUUUCAGCAGGGACGAAGCGCAAGUGACGGUACCUGCAGAAGAAGCGCCGGCCAACUACGUGCCAGCAGCCGCGGUAAGACGUAGGGCGCGAGCGUUGUCCGGAUUUAUUGGGCGUAAAGAGCUCGUAGGCGGCUUGUCGCGUCGUCCGUGAAAACCUGCAGCUCAACUGCAGGCUUGCGGGCGAUACNGGGCAGGCUAGAGUUCGGUAGGGGAGACUGGAAUUCCU
rnacentral:rRNA from 1 species